CGAACGGGUGAGUAACGCGUGGGCAACCUGCCUAUGACAGUGGGAUAGCCUCGGGAAAGCGGGAUUAAUACCGCAUAAAAUCGUAGAAACACAUGUUUUAACGGUCAAAGAUUUAUCGGUCAUAGAUGGGCUCGCGUCUGAUUAGCUAGUUGGUGAGAUAACAGCCCACCAAGGCGACGAUCAGUAGCCGGUCUGAGAGGAUGAACGGCCACAUUGGAACUGAGACACGGUCCAA
rnacentral:rRNA from 1 species